GUAAUUAUUAUAAUUAUUCAGACGCUGAUUGAAAAUUAAAAAGGUUAUUGAGUUGUCCAGCCGGCGGGCGAACCCGCCGAGGAAACAGAAGUACGCAAAAAGACAAGGGUUCAGAAAGAGAGCGUACUCGUGGAAAACACUUUCCGCUCCCCCCGAGCAGUAGAAAACUACUGAGUGUAAUGAUCCUUCCGCAGGUUCACCUACGGAAA
rnacentral:misc_RNA from 1 species